GAUGGAGGGAGAGAGGGAUCAGAGAGAACAGAGGGUAGAGAAAGAAUGGGGAGAUGGAGGGAGAGAGGGAUCAGAGAGAACAGAGGGUAGAGAAAGAAUGGGGAGAUGGAGGGAGAGAGGGAUCAGAGAGAACAGAGGAGAAAAAGAAUGGGGAGAUGGAGGGAGAGAGGGAUCGCAGAGAACAGAGGUAGAGAAAGAAUGGGGAGAUGGAGGGAGAGAGGGAUCAGAGAGAACAGAGGGUAGAGAAAGAAUGGGGAGAUGGAGGGAGAGAGGGAUCAGAGAGAACAGAGGGUAGAGAAAGAAUGGGGAGAUGGAGGGAGAGAGAGAUCAGAGAGAACAGAGGGUAGAGAAAGUGGUGACAGGCGGUGACACUGCGCGUGUCCUCGUUCCCUGUUUACGAUGGGAUAAUCACACACACACACACACACACACACACACACACACACACACACACACACACACUGUGCUCUGCCCUCUGUGUCCCCCUCACAGCCCACUGUGACAUGCUGCUGCCAAUGCCAUGAUAGUGUGUGUGUAGUGUCUUUCUUUUCUUUUCCUAUAUACCUAUUCCAUAUCUUUCUUCCCCCCCCCCUCUUUGUAAACCCUUUCUUUGCUUACCCUUUACCUCCUCCCUCUCUUCCCUCUCUCGCCCACU
ensembl:lncRNA